CCGCGUCCCGUGCGGGGGUUUGACAGCCGAGCCCUGCAGCCUGGAAGCAGAUCGGCUGUGGAACGGGGAAUCACCAUCUGCCGGCAGCUUCUCUGGGAAGAGCUCAGCCAGUCUGACGUCACAUACACGACGUUCUUUGGCCCUGAGGGUGAAAAGGGGUAAUCCUUCCUGUGAGUAGAGCUCCUGCAGCUGGAAUCCUCAUUUUGCUGGAAGCGGACGAGCUUUGCGGGGCUGCCCCUUGUGAUGGCAGAGCCAACCCAGCAGCAAAGUGUGGAGCAGCAGCAAAGUGAGAGGUCAAAAAGCGUGAGUCAGCCUCAGCAAAGCCCACUUUGUCUUGAAGAGAAAAACAAAGCGCAGAAAACAACUCCCUCGCCACGAUGCAAUGGUUGGGAUUUGUCGCCCCGUUUUCUUGCGGGUCCCCUGUGGGUGGGGAGGAACAGCCCACUCCCUCCCCCCCCCCCCCACUGUGCACGGCGCAGCUCGGCCGCCUGCUCCGCAUCCAACCCACGGACGGGGCUCGGGGCGCUCACUGCAGCCGGACGGAGCGGCCCCAGGGCUCCGCGUGCGAGCGCCCACUUCCCAAAGCAAGCACAUAAACACGGGGGGAGGGGGAGGCAGUGAACGCCGUGAGCUCAACAGCAGGAGCAGCACCGCGAGCUGCUGGGCUUUAUCUGCUCCGUGCUCCUCGUGGGAGGGUUUCGUGUCUUGCUGAGGACUCCGGGUGGGCGUGCAUCAGGGCUGCAUCAGGAGCUGCAGUCAGCUGCCGCCUGCCCGAGCCCU
rnacentral:lncRNA from 1 species